CUUUCCCUCUGUCGGCAGGCCUAACACAUGCAAGUCGAACGGUAACAGAAAACAGCUUGCUGUUUCGCUGACGAGUGGCGGACGGGUGAGUAAUGUCUGGGAAACUGCCUGAUGGAGGGGGAUAACUACUGGAAACGGUAGCUCAUACCGCAUAACGUCGCAAGACCAAAGAGGGGGACCUCCGGGCCUCUUGCCAUCGGAUGUGCCCAGAUGGGAUUAGCUAGUAGGUGGGGUAACGGCUCACCUAGGCGACGAUCCCUAGCUGGUCUGAGAGGAUGACCAGCCACACUGGAACUGAGACACGGUCCAGACUCCUACGGGAGGCAGCAGUGGGGAAUAUUGCACAAUGGGCGCAAGCCUGAUGCAGCCAUGCCGCGUGUAUGAAGAAGGCCUUCGGGUUGUAAAGUACUUUCAGCGGGGAGGAAGGGAGUAAAGUUAAUACCUUUGCUCAUUGACGUUACCCGCAGAAGAAGCACCGGCUAACUCCGUG
rnacentral:rRNA from 1 species